UACGGGGGGGGCAAGCGUUGUUCGGAAUUACUGGGCGUAAAGGGCUCGUAGGCGGCCAACUAAGUCAGACGUGAAAUCCCUCGGCUUAACCGGGGAACUGCGUCUGAUACUGGUUGGCUUGAAUCCGGGAGAGGGAUGUGGAAUUCCAGGUGUAGCGGUGAAAUGCGUAGAUAUCUGGAGGAACACCGGUGGCGAAGGCGGCAUCCUGGACCGGUAUUGACGCUGAGGAGCGAAAGCCAGGGGGGCAAACGGG
rnacentral:rRNA from 1 species